rfam:Camponotus floridanus CamFlo_1.0_1.contig371, whole genome shotgun sequence.
GUCUGGAUAGCUCAGUGGUCUAGAGCAGUUGCCCGGAAAGCGAAAGACUCAGGUUCGAUUCCCGAUCCAGCCA